GAAGUGCGAUAAGCAAUGCGAAUUGCAGAAUUCCGCGAAUCAUCAGAUCUUUGAACGCAAAUGGCGUCAGAGGGAUAUCCUUCUGGCAUGUCUGUUUCAGUGUCUGAGAGGUUUCACAAUAAUCUUAAUGUGAUUGAAUUCGGCUUGUGUGUAAUGAUUCACGUCAUUAUACCUUGCUCUUUUCUCUCAUGAAAGGUGCGCGAGGGGAUCUUCUGGUCCAAUGAACCGGUCACAUCACUCGAAUGUGAUUUCAUUGGAAGCACCGGAUUAUCAUUUUUAACUUGCGGUAUCAUCAAAAUUAUUAUUAGAUGCUAUAUUAAUAGUAUUUAACAAUAACUCUCUAUACCCUGCAUCUGAGAUAGGCAAGAUCACCCGCUGAACUUAA
rnacentral:misc_RNA from 1 species